UACGAAGGGGGCUAGCGUUGUCCGGAAUUAUUGGGCGUAAAGCGCAUGUAGGCGGCUUUGCAAGUCAGGGGUGAAAUCUCGGGGCUCAACCUCGGAACUGCCUUUGAUACUGCAAAUCUCGAGUCCGGAAGAGGUGAGUGGAAUUCCUAGUGUAGAGGUGAAAUUCGUAGAUAUUAGGAAGAACACCAGUGGCGAAGGCGGCUCACUGGUCCGAUACUGACGCUGAGAUGCGAAAGCGUGGGGAGCAAACAGG
rnacentral:rRNA from 1 species